rnacentral:rRNA from 1 species
GCAAAGGAAUCUGCCUUAUAGUAGAGAACAUGAUAAAAGUAAAUUCUCUAUAUAAAGAAAGAUUAUAUCGCUAUAAGAGGAGCCUUUGUAGGAUUAGGUAGUUGGUAGGGUAAAAGCCUACCAAGCCAAAGAUCCUUAGCUGGUCUGAGAGGAUGUACAGCCACACUGGGACUGAAACAAGGCCCAGACUUCCACGGAAGGCUGCAGUAGGGAAUUCUGGACAAUGGGCGAAAGCUUGAUCCGGUGAUACCAGAGGAGUGAAGAAGGUAUAAAUCGUAAAACUCGGUUACUAAGGAGGAU